GCCGGGGUAGCCGAACCCGGUUAGGCGGCGGGCUGCAGACCCGCAGUAUGCGGGUUCAAAUCCCGCCCCCGGCU
rnacentral:tRNA from 1 species